rnacentral:rRNA from 1 species
GACGAACGCUGGCGGCGUGCUUAACACAUGCGAGUCGUACGGUAAGGCCCUUUCGGGGGUACACGAGUGGCGAACGGGUGAGUAACACGUGAGUAACCUGCCCACAACUUUGGGAUAACGCUAGGAAACUGGUGCUAAUACUGGAUAUGUGCCCCUGCUGCAUGGUGGGGGUUGGAAAGCUCCGGCGGUUGUGGAUGGACUCGCGGCCUAUCAGCUUGUUGGUGGGGUAGUGGCCUACCAAGGCGGCGACGGGUAGCCGGCCUGAGAGGGUGACCGGCCACAUUGAGACUGAGAUACGGCCCAGACACCUACGGGAGGCAGCAGUGGGGAAUAUUGCACAAUGGGCGCAAGCCUGAUGCAGCAACGCCGCGUGCGGGAUGACGGUCUUCGGGUUGUAAACCGCUUUCAGCAGGGACGAAGCUUUUUGUGACGGUACCUGCAGAAGAAGCACCGGCUAACUACGUG